rnacentral:rRNA from 1 species
UACGUAGGGUGCAAGCGUUAAUCGGAAUUACUGGGCGUAAAGCGUGCGCAGGCGGAUAUGUAAGUCAGUGGUGAAAUCUCUAGGCUUAACCUGGAAAUUGCCGUUGAUACUAUAUAUCUUGAAUGCUGUGGAGGUAAGCGGAAUAUGUCAUGUAGCGGUGAAAUGCUUAGAUAUGACAUAGAACACCUAUUGCGAAGGCAGCUUACUACGCAGAUAUUGACGCUCAUGCACGAAAGCGUGGGGAGCAAACAGG